GGCUGAUUUCCUUCAGAAUGGAUCUUCUUGCAGUCCAUGGGACUCUCAAGAGUCUCCUCCAGAACAUAAUUCAAAAGCAACAAUUCUUCGGCGAUUGGCCUUCUUUAUGGUCCAGCUCUCACUUCCAUACAUCACUCCUGGGAAAUCCAUAGCUUGAACUAUACGGACCUUGAAUAUAGCCCAGUGGAAUAAAGAUUUUUAAAAAUAAGUCCAGUGUGAAUAAAAACAUGAGCAUAGGGCAUCAGGUGGGCCUCCCAGGUAGGGCAUUUGAAACUUGGAUGGCACCACAACAGUUGGCAGUUCCCACCCACCCAGUCUCCCACUACAGGAGCAACUGGAAGAGGAUAUUAUUAAAUGCCAUUCCAGAGGUUAGGACCUGAACCAGUGGAUUCCAACGACAAGGAAAGAGAUUCUGGCUCAACAUUAGGAAGACCUUUCUGGUGGUAAGAGCUGCUUGACUGUGGGACAGGCCCCCACAGGAGGUUGUGGACUCUCCUUCCUUUGAGGUUUCUAAGCAGAGGUUGGAUGGCUACCUGUCAUAGAUGUUUGAGCUGAGAUUCCUGCAAUGCAGAGGGUUGGACUCAAUGACCCUUGGGGUCCCUUCCAACUCUACAGUUCUAUGAUUUGGAUUUGGAUUUGGAUUUGAUAUCCCGCUUUAUCACUCCCCUUCAGGAGUCUCAAAGCGGCUGACAUUCUCCUUUCCCUUCUUCCCCCACAACAAACACUCUGUGAGGUGAGUGGGGCUGAGAGAUUUCAAAGAAGUGUGACUGGCCCAAGGUCACCCAGCAGCUGCAUGUGGAGGAGCGGAGACACGAACCCAGUUCCCCAGAUUACGAGACUACCGCUCUUAACCACUGCACCACACUGGUUCUAGGUUCUAGUCUCCACUCCUAACAGCAUCAAUUAGUUAACUGACGUUCGUACGGAGCCCCCGGUCGUCUCACGGACUAUUGACCCAUACACCACUAAUCCGCUGCCACCAACCAGGUCCUCCCCGGUAAAUCACUUAGUCUCAGUCAGGUUCUCACAUUAACAAAGAAGUGUGUAGUUUAUUGCAGAUACAAACAAACUUUAACUGCAUUCUAAACGUUGUUACUCUUUACCUUCUUAGUCUUAUUUUAUCCUGUCUUUAUCUCUUCUACCUCCCCGCACACAAGAACCCACUGCACUAACUGUCUCUCUAUUUCCAACUGCCUGCCAACUGCCUUCCCCAACCAACCAACCCACUAAAACCAACCAACUAACCACACCCAAACCUGGGGCUAAGCCCUUUUAUAAACAGGUAGGCUCCGCCUCCGGCUUUCCUAUUGGAAAUAUUCCUAUUUCCUAUAUUAACUCUUUCUCUCCCCCUGUAUAGACAUUUUCAAACGAACGGGCAAACGCCACAUUAACCAACAUCCCAGGGCCUUGUGUGGAUUAAAUGAGGAGGGGGGAAACCAUCUAUCCCACCUUGAGCUGUUGGGAUGAAAAGGUAGGAGGUGAAAUGAAUAAAGGAGUAAGUAAAUACAACUUUGGGGGUCCUGUGAGCCUCCAGAUGUUGUAGGACUCCAACUCCCACCAGCCAUAUUCAGCCUGGGCAAUGGCAAGAGAUGAUGGGAGUUUUAGCCCAGAAGAAUCUGGAGAGUUGGAAGCAGCUAUCAUGGUCUGGUCUACAGGCGGUCGAAGUCCUGGAGGAGGACGUCAGGACCAGGGGCAAGACGGCAGUGUGGGAGCAGGAAUGAGAGUCCGGAAGCCAAGGGUCAGAGAGCCAGGAGUCAAGAAGCCAAGGGUCUGAGGGUCAGGAAACCAAGGGUCAAGAAGCCAAAUGCAGCAAGGCAGAAAGCAUGUUGCUGUGGCAAAGAGCCAAAGGGAAAUGCUGACCUUAUAGCCCUUCCUGGCUCUUGCCACCAGGGGCUGUGAGUUACCAAUUGGCCUCACCUGUGCGGCCACGCCUUGCCUCUCCAGAACAAACUUAGGAAGGCCCCAGUCUUGCGAAGCCCUACCGGUCACAGGGCCUGGCUCCUGCACGCACUCCUGACAGCACCCAUCCCUCAUCUGUCUCUUGCUUCUCUGCUUGGAUGAGGUAACUGAAUGCCUUGUGUCUGUGGGGAGGAGAGCGCCUACACUGAGCACAAGUAAACAUUCAGCUAAUGAGCCUCUUCCAAGGGACCAUCAGCCCACUGAGUCUUGCAAGAGCAAAGUUAAUGAGGUCUGGGUGGGUAAUGCAUUCUCCGUUAUAAAUGGAGCACUGCAACUUUUAAAACUUAAACGCGGAGAACAGAAACCAGCGCAAGUGUUUUGCUCGUUCCUCGCAACAUCACUUUUCAUUCUUCUCUACCAGAACUUUUCAAAAUAAUCAGAAUUUUUUGAAUACAACUCAAAUGGAAACAUCAGAGCUGGGGAGGUGGGAGGAGGAAUCCUAGGUCUUUCCUGAGAGCAAUAUAUUCUGCCACGAAUAGUUAUGCAAUUUUCAGAUUUAUUAUCCUCAUCAUAGUUUGAGGUUCACAUGUGCUGUUAGUGGGAAGGUAGUCUUCCUCCUCCUUCGCUGUCUCCCACCCUGAAAAAUUUGCAGUGUAAAUCCAAAGCAUCUGUUUGCAAAAACUGCAAAUAAAUGACAGCCUAACUUAAGAAUAUAAGAAGAGCCUGCUGGAUCAGGCCAAAAGGGGUCCAUCCAUCUAAUUUCUAUCAUGACACCUUUUAGAGGGGAUGGCUAAACCCAAAGUUCAGGGGAGCAGAGAGAGAAAGGAAAGUGAAUAGCAAAGCAAGAGAACAAACUAUCCUCCUGCCCAACUUAUGCAAGGAAGGACAAUUAAGGGAUGGUGCCAUGUUUUAUGAGACAACGUUAUCUGCCAAACCCCAGUGGUGUGCUCCACCAUUUCACACCUUAAUGGAUUUAUCUUCUCGUAAGAGUAAGUGCACCUGAAACUCUUUGCUCGGUCCAAGAGUCAGAUGAGUUAUUUCACUUCUCCUUGCUUUCGUCCCACCCGGUGACCUUCCAGAGUAACCAGGAAGCCGUGUUCAUAUAUCAGCAUAAUCUGUGCGUGCUUGGCUGUGAUGGGGAAGAUGAAGGUUACCUGGUGUUGGAAUAAACCCAUCCAAGAUAAAGGUUGGCUCGCUAAGCUAAUUUACAAGAAGGAGGGGACCCCGGAGUGCCGCACCUAACAGAAGACAGAAAGGUCAUGGAGGGAGGAAAGGUACUUAUGGGGAAUGGGGAGCAAUUAUCGGAGAGACCCAAUACGCUAUGGACCUUCAAUAGCCUUUCUUGACUCAGACUUCCUGAGGCACAUACUUUGCCAUUUCACAUACCAAUAGAUUUAUACCUGAAAGUCUUCAUAUGAUGAGGUGCCAUAUAUUCAAGGAGGCCAGUCUAGCCCCAAGCUGGCCAGUUUCCCAAACCCAAAACUGAGGUCUUCUCCAUCCAACUGUCCAAUACUAUCAAGGGAAGUAAUAGUACUUCUCUAUUCUGUCUUGGUCAGACCCCAUCCUGUGUCCAGUUCUAGACACCACAGUUUAAGAAGGAUAUCGUCAAACUAGAAGGUGCAGAGCAGAGCAGAGCAACCAAGAUGACUGAGGGUCUGGAGACCAAGCCUGAUGAGGAACGUUUGAGGGAGUUGGGUAUGCUUAGCCUGGAGAAGAGGACUGAAAGGAGUCUUCAAAUAUCUGAAGAAAAGAUGGAGGAAGCUUGUUUUCUGCUGCUUCAGAAGAUAGGACCAAUGGAUUCAAAUGACUAGAAAGGAGAUUCUGACUCAACAUUAGGAAGAACUUUCUGAUGGCAAUUGCUGCUUGACAGGCUCCCUCAGAAGGCGGUGGACUCUCUUUUAUUGGAGGUUUCUAAGCUGAGGUUGGAUGGCUAUCUCUCAUGGAUUCUUUAGCUGUAACUCUUGCAUUGCAGGGGUUGGACUACAUGGGCUUAGGGGAUCCCUUCCAACUCUGUGGUUUUAUGAUGAUUUUUUCAUCUGAAGAUAAUUUUAUCCGAAAGUUCAUCUCAGACUCUCUGUUCAGUAUUCCUACUGUUAUUAUUUCAGGCUUGCAGUAUGCGACACAUGAUAAAUGUAGGGACACAUCGGAAGGAAAACGCUUGCCUUUUCUGUUUGCAAGGGGGAUUUAUCACCGCAUAUGCUAUCUAAUGUUAAGUCAGCUCGAACCUGGCAGGUGGAAAACAUAAGCCAUUCUGUUUCCCCCAACUGUUCACCUGGAAAGAACCCUCUGCUCGCCAUAGGCGAAUGUCUCCAUCGAUACCUGGCAUAUCAUUCUUAGCCCUUCAGAUAUGCUAACGUGAUUUCUUUUCCCCCAGUGCCUGCCUUGGCCAUAAACUGCUGCCCACUGUAGCAGAUGGGCUUCGGUCUGUUUCAGAAGGGGCUAUUUAUGGUGUCGCCAUUUACACGAAAACAGGAAACGCAGCACAUUUCCAUACAAAAGCGUGUGGCAACAUACCAUGUUUGCUGUGUUUCAUGCUGAGGAAGCCUCGUCUUAAUGAGAAAGUCUACAUAAUUAACCCAGAUUAAUUUAGGGUGUGCAUUUAAUACACAGAGCUUAAUCUGUGCUAAGCCCUUCUAAACCUCCAGACGGGCACCCAUUGUAGAUUAGCAGGCCCUCCUCUGAGCCAAGAUUAAUGCUGUUUUAAACUGAAUUAAGGGUAGCUGAAGGAAAGGGGGCAGCCACUUCUAAUCUAUUCCUCGUGCUCUGCAGGCGUCGGACUUCACCAUGGGCAGUGUCGAAAUCCUGCUCCUCUUGUCUGUUCUAAGCCAAACCAUUUCAAGAAACAACUUUACCAUUCCCAUGUUUGCGGAUAUUUAUCCAGGAGCCCAAUUUGAGCAGAAAGCUCUAACAUCUGCACAGUGGGGAGGUAAAGGUAAAGGUAAAGGGACCCCUGACCAUUAGGUCCAGUCGUGGCCAACUCUGGGGUUGCGGAGCUCAUCUCGCUUUAUUAGCCAAGGGAGCUGGCGUACAGCUUCCGGGUCAUGUGGCCAGCAUGACUAAGCCGCUUCUGGUGAACCAGAGCAGCACACGGAAACACUGUUUACCUUCCCACCAGAGCGGUACCUAUUUAUCUAUUUGCACUUUGAUGUGCUUUUGAACUGCUAGGUGGGCAGGAGCAGGGUCCGAGCAACGGGAGCUCACCCCGUUGCGGGGAUUCAAACCGCCAACCUUCUGAUGGGCAAGCCCUAGGCUCUGUGGUUUAACCCACAGCGCCACCCGCGUCCUGCACAGUGGGGAGGGAGAGGGGCAACUACUGCUUCCUGCACCAAGAUUUUUAAAAAUCCCAUUGGCCACCUGCAACAUGGCGAUCUUCCAGGAUCCAGCUCUCUACUCAACCAGGUGUUGGAAGGAUGAGAAAGAACAGUACUCAUCUUCUCUUCAGCCCUACAGUUGUGCACUGAACAGCCAGCACAAUCUCCCUUCGUAUUUUUCUUUUUGACAGCCAGGGCUUCUGCGGGUGAGGUCCACACAGGGAUCUGUGGUUCUAAUACUCCUUUAUAUUUUACCCAGCAAUUUUCUUAUAAUGUGAUUCAAAAAUCCCUUGUGUACCCUCACCUUUUCAUAAAUUAGAUAAAGCAUGUCAACCAUAGCGGUUAUCAAAACUCUCUAGGCCUACCACACCUGUAUCUCUUAAGGUAAUCCAAUCUUUAAUCCUUUUAAAUUAUCAUUUUUCAAGUGUAGCACACCAAUAAAAAGUUCGUUGAAAUUGGUAUUACAAUAAAAAGCACCGUUGAUGUCAUCCAAAAAACAAACAGUCUGUUAACUCAAGUCAAUGAACAAAAAAAAUCCUUUCUUUAAAAAAAUAAUCAGUCUUUGUUGUCAUUUGUACCUAUGGAUAUCAUUAGUUAUUUUGGAUACCACUGUAUCAUUCCUCAGUUAUCAGAGAACCAUAGAACUGUUGAGAUGGAAGGGAUCCCAAGUCCAACUCCCUGCAAUGGUUUAUCAUUUGCUUUGACACCUUAUUCCAUUUCCAGUGCAUAUUUUAUUCUGGAUUCUGUGUUUACACUGGCCAGUAAACAUGUCUGGGUGUUUUCUACACACAGCUAACACUGCAUGGGAGAUGAGCAGGGCUGCCUUGACCUCUCAUGCUCCCUGUAAAUAUGUGAGAUGCAAGCUGCAAUGGAGGAGAGACAGAGUUUGGAUUUUUGGAAUCUUUUAUUUCAAAAAAGAUGCUGAGCCUUUGCUGGAGAACACAAGACAUUGUAUGGGUAUUUUGGUUGCAUCUUUCAUGCUUAUGUUCAGUUUUUGAAGAAUUCUGCCAGUAAAACUUUGAAUAAUAUUUUUAUGGGACAGGACAACGAUUUCUUGCAAAGGAGUCAGUUCUUACGCUUCCAGUCUCUUCAAAGUGUGCAAUAUUAAUAUCUGCAAUACAUGUUAAGAUCCGAAUGCAAACCUGCUCUUGCAGAUGUGACCUUUGGACUUCAAACUUCACACCAUUCGUAGCGUUUUCACUUCUUUUGUUAAAAGUCAGAGCUAAAUCGGCGUCACUGGCUAUCAGGGCAAUUUUCCAUCACGGGGCUUACAAUAAAAAGGUGUCGGUUUUAAAGAUAAGUAGACGAUUUGCCAAUAAAAGUACAUGGUGGUUAUCAUAAUGAUAGCUAAGUCCUUCAUCCUACCAGCCCAUCUUCCCAAAAUAGCAACACACUUUGAAUUAACAUAUAAUGAUCCUUUUUAUUCGAGUCAUCUGUGUCUGUAAAAGAGGAAGUAAUUGGUGGGGAAAUGGGAGGAGGAAGGCGGCAGCAGCAGAAAACACAAUUUGUGCUUCUCCCUUCUGCUAGGGACCAAGUCAGGGCUCCCCAAAGCAACACAACACCCUGCCUUCUGGAUGUUGCCUGACAACCAACACCCCACUUGGUUUUCUCUGCUGGAUGAGGCUGGUGUGAUCUGGCACCCCCAAAGUCAGGAGCCCCGACUGCAUUGGCUACACCCGUGUGAUCCUAACUAGGGAUACCUGAAGGAGCGUCUCCACCCCCAUCGUUCUGCCCGGACACUGAGGUCCAGCUCCGAGGGCCUUCUGGUGGUUCCCUCCCUGCGAGAAGUGAGGUUACAGGGAACCAGGCAGAGGGCCUUCUCGGUGGUGGUGCCCGCCCUGUGGAACGCCCUCCCAGCGGAGGUCAAAGAGAACAACAACUACCAAACUUUUAGAAGACAUCUGAAGGCAGCCCUAUUUAGGGAAGCUUUUAAUGUUUAAUAGGUUAUUGUAUUUUAGUGUUUAGAUGGAAGCCGCCCCGAGUGGCUGGGGAAACCCAGCCAGAUGCGCGGAGUAUAAAUAAUAAAUUAUAUUAUUAUUAUUAUUAUUAUUAUUAUUAUUAUUAUUAUUAUUAUUAUUAUUAUUAUUAUUAUUAUUAUUAUUAUUAUUAUUAUUAUUAUUAUUAUUAUUAUUGGUUUCCCCAUAUGUACUGGGGAUGCCCAGAGGUAAAGGAAUUCUGGAAUAAAAUCCUAAAGGUUGUUAAUGAACUGUUUAAAGUGAAACUUUGAACAGACUUUGAUCUCCUGACAAUGGGUAUACUUGGAAUCACGGCUCUAGAGAAAGGGGACCAGCUUAUUUUCAAAGCUAUGAUAUUAGCGGGAAAGGCAACGAUAGCUUUAGGUUGGAAAGACAGAGAAAAAUGGACAGUAGAGGCAUGGAAUAGUUAUUUGUUUGAACUUAUUCAGCCGGACAUUGUCGCAGUCACGUCACAGGAAACAACGUGGAAGGUCAAGUCCACCACGAUAAGGAACAGAUGGAACCCCUAUCUUCAAUGGAUAGAAACUACUGGAACAAAAGACAUUCGGUGGAAACGAAAGACGCUAUGUCCGUGGCUGAGGAUAAUUGUUUGAACCCUUCCACUGGAUAUGGGGGGUGGGGGGAAGGGAGGGGAAGGAAAAAACUGUACGGGAAAUUUAAAAAUUGGAAGGAGAUAAUAUAAUGCAUGUACAAAUCCCGAAAUAAAUUAAUUAAAAAAAGAAGAAGAUAAGAAAUCACCAAGCUGAUAGAUGCCAUCAGUCCUCCUGCUUCUAACAAGAGACUCUGGGUUUGAACCCAACAUUGGGUGAAAGAUUCCAAUUCUACAGUUCUGUGAUUCUUUUGAUUCUGUCCCUUGCCAGAUCCAAGUUACAGAAAGGAUGAUUGUUUUUAUUAUUAUUUUAAAAAUCAACGGAAGAAGUUUGGAAUUCCUCCAAGUGCAACCCCCUCCCCAAGGGAACCUCAUUCCAAGGAAAGAUGUGAUAGAAAUGUGAGAGCCAGCAUGAAGAACCUGGGUAUCUGUCAAUAUUCACAGGAGCUAUUUUUAGGCAGGGAGGCAGGCAAGAGAGAGAGAGAGUAAGAAAGAAGACAAGUAUUAAAAUGUUAAUACAAACUUGUCGGCGUCUGAUUGCCUUUAGCGAGCCACUCGCAGCUUCAUUAGCCAGCGGCGGCUCCCAACCUGUACAGCCUUCAGGGAUCACGGAUCCCGAAGUCUGGACUGGAAGCAGAGUUUGCCUGGAAACUGUAGCUCUGCCAACCUCUUUAAAGCCCAAACCCAUCGCUCUCCACUGCAACUAGAGCCUGCUCUCUCCUGUCUCCCCAAAUCAGCGGUUCCCAAAGUGGCCAGGGGCUCUCUCUGGGGGCAGUGGGAUUAUCCAGAGGGGUGCUAAGAGACAAAGGGCUAGCAGAGGGGCAAUGGAAAUGACCAUUUAGUACUCCUGCUAAGGGACUUUAAACCAAACAUUGGGAGUCAAAUCAGUUAUGAUCAAAUAGGCACAAGAUAUAGGACAUAAUAUACAAUCUGAGGACUGGGAGAAAUUGUGGAAAGUAAAUAUGUGGUCCAGCUCUCACUUCCAUACAUCACUAUGGUUUUCCCAGUAGUGAUGUAUGGAAGUGAGAGCUGGACCAUAAAGAAGGCUGAUCACUGAAGAAUGGAUGCUUUUGAAUUCUGGUGCUGGAGGAGACUCUUGAGAGUCCCAUGGACUGCAAGAAGAUCCAACCUAUCCAUUCUGAAGGAAAUCAGCCCUGAGUGCUCACUGGAAGGACAGAUCCUGAAGCUGAGGCUCCAAUACUUUGGCCACAUCAUUAGUAGAGAAGACUACCUGGAAAAGACCAUGAUGUUGGGAAUGAUGGAGUGCUGAAGGAGAAGGGGACGACAGAGGACGAGAUGAUUGGACAGUGUUGUCGAAGCUACCAGCAUGAGUUUGACCAACUGCGGGAGGCAGUGGAAGACAGGAGUGCCCGGCGUGCUCUGGUCCAUGGGGUCACGAAGAGUCGGACACGACUAAACAACAACAUGCUUUGAUAGUUGUAUGUCGAAAUUGUUAAUAAAAAUAUUUUUUAAAAAAACAACAACAACCAAACAUUGGGAAACUAGUAUCAACACAUUAAGUGCUUACUGAGCAGUGAAGCUGUUGCUAAAAGUGGAAUGGACUCUUGCUAAAUGACCAUCAGACCUUGAAAGGCUGGUGGCAGAAGGACAGGAAAAAGAGGCAUCCCCAUCUUAGGUGUGGAUUUGCUGCUGGAGGCAUUCCAGGACCUUGCUUAGGGAUGCCCCUUUGUAGCGGUGAAUGUUGAGGCUCCUCCUCCACAAUGCAUGACUUUGGAUGCACAUAGCAAUGUGGUGGACCACCAGCCCAUUUGCCUCAACAAUGAACAACAGCUACUUCUCCCCCACCCCACAAAGGAAACCACAACAGCCAGGAGAAACCAAGCACAGAAGCCCACAACUUGGGUGGUUUAAGAAGAUUGAGCAAAUUCAUGGAGGAGAAGGCUACUGAUAGCCACUAGUCAUGGUGGCUAUGUACUGCCCUCCAUGGUGCAGAAGAUGGAGCAAUGCUUAUGAAUACCAGUUGUUGGAUUCUACAGGAGGGGGGAGAGCUCUUCUGAUUGAAUCCUGCUUACAGGUUUCCCAGAGGCAUCUGUUGGCUGCUGAGAGAAAGGGAUGCUAGACUAGAUGGGCCUCGUUUGGUCUGAGAUAUCUCAAGGGCUUUCUCAUGGAAGAGGGAACAAGAUUGUUUUCUCCUGCUCUGGAGGGAAGGACUCAAUCCAAUGAAUUCAAAUUACAAGAAAGGAGAUUCCGACUAAGCAUCAGGAAGAACUUUCUGACAAUACGAGCUGUCCGACAGAGGAACGGACGCCCUCAGGAGGUGGUGGACUCUCCUUCCUUGGAGGUUUUUAAGCAGAGGUUGGGUGGUCAUCCGUCAUGGAUGCUUGAGCUGAGAUUCCUGCAUUGCAGAGCAAGUCUGGGCAAUGAUGGGUCACCCCCCCACACACACCCCCAAACAAAACCCUCCUGGCUUUAUCAAGAUAAACCUUCUAUAGAAUGGUUUGCUUUGAUUUUGUAGGGGCUUUAUUCUUGCAGCGUUUUAAAUAUCUAGCACUAAACUUGCAUCACUAGAAUGUUUUUGAAUUAUUUUAUACACGACUGCAAGCCGACUACCUGCUGGAUAUAAAGAAGUGCCAGCAUUUAUAAAUAAUCCAGAGGCAUACAGCUCAAGAUAAAACCCCAACAAAAUCAACUUGCCAGAAGCCAGGAAUGGCUCUUUGUUUGCAAAAGCACCAGAUGCCUCUAUAUACCCCUUCUGCAAAACAAGACUCCUUCCUCUCCAGUGUCUAGCAGUGGAGAGCAUGUCUGAACUCAGAAACUGCUCCACGCCACAGGCUUCUUUGUUCCUGGAAACUUCUGAGCGAUGAAUCAAAUCUCCCAGGAGAAUUUGAAAGUGGUGGCACCCAACUCUAUAUUCACCUGGCUGGGAACAUGCACAUAUCCAGACCAGGGUACUUGCCUGCAUUUUGAAGAAAUGACUAUUUCCCUCAGUGGCCCUCCCUCAUCUAGGCCUGGUAGUAGGUAUCCUGGGGAAUGUUAUUUCCCAAUGGCAUCCAAAGUAGGGACGCCAUAUGUCCAUUUCCCCCCGGACACGUCCUCUUCUUCAGAGUUAAAAUUUCUGUCCAGGCAGAUUUAUAAAAUUUGGAAAAAUGUCUGGGAUUUUUUUGUUUGGUACAUAUACCAUUCUAUUUGUACUGAACUGGAAGUUCCUUCAGCAACUAAGGGCAGAGGAAAAGCAACCGGCAGCUUCACUCACUCACUCACUCACUCACUCAAUCAAUCAAUCAAUCACUGGGCUUAACCGAAUUCAUUUCUGGUCAUCUAUGCCUUGGUAAUAAUGAUGAUGAUGAUGAUGAUGAUGAUGAUGAUAUUACACUGGUACCUCUGGUUGUGAACAGGAUCCAUUCUGGAGGCCCGUUCGCAACAUGAAAGGAACGCAACCUGCAGCGGCGCGUCUGCGCACGCACGGGUUGCAAUUCGCCGCUUCUGGGUUUGGAAUUGCCCAAGAAAGAUGUUAAAUUAUUUUUGUAUGCCACAACUGCUGCUCGUAUUUUGUUAGCUAAAAAGUGGAAAACCUAAGAAUUACCAACAAUAGAAGAAUGGCAGAUGAAGAUGAUGGAUUUUUUGGAGCUAGCCAACCUAACCGGAAGAGUCCGUGACCAGAAGGAGGAGGAGUAUCAGGAAGAAUGGAAUAAAUUCAAUGAUUAUUUAGUUAAAUUUGUUAAGUUAAACUAACUGGAAAUAGCUUGCAGAUACUUAAUGGGCUCAGGAUUUUAUUUAUGUUAAGUGAUGAAUUAAUAUGUUUAAUUCUAUAAGGUGAAGAUCUAAGGAUGUUAAUGUUUAAGUUAAGUUUCAUAAAAAUUGGGAUUUGGAAAACCGUUAAAAGGACAUGCAAUGAAAUUCAACCAAGGGGAAGCGAGGAAGUCACUUAACAAAGUUAAUAACUGUAAUUUUAAUAAGGCUAUGAUUUAUGUUUGUUUUGUUUGUUUGUUUUGUGUGUGUGCUUGUUUGUUUGUUUAUAAUAUGGUGAAAACCAGUAAAAAAAAAAUGGGAGAAAAAAAGCAAUUCGCCGCUUCUGCACAUGCGUGCCACAUCAUUUUGCACUUCUGCGCAUGCGUGAGUGGCGUAACCCGGAAGUAACCCUUUCCGGUACUUCCGGGUCACCGCGGGACAUAACCUGAAAGAACGUAACAUGAAGCGGACGUAACAUGAGGUAUGACUGUAAUAAUAAUAAUUUAUUAUUUAUACCCCGCCCAUCUGGCUGGGUUUCCCCAGCCACUCUGGGCGGCUUCCAACAAAGUAUUAAAAUACAGUGGUCUGUUAAACAUUAAAAGCUUCCCUUCCUUUCAAAACCCCAAAACGCAUAACUUGGAAGUAUCUGCUGCACCAUCUUCUCUGCAAUAGCCAUGAAUGCAGAGAUUAACAUUUGAAAUGGUUCGCUCUUUUUCUACACACCCACCCAACUUUUAAAACCUUUUCAAACUUCUUGUUUGAUGAAUAUUUGAGGAUGAGAGCUUUAAAUACUGGGCUUGAGAGCAUUUUCUUGUCUCUUAAAAGGAUUGCAGGAAGAAUAUGAGGCCAACAUGCAGCAAGGCCCAUUUAUUAGAAGCCCCUGGAAAUAAUUGACAUUAUUUUAAGGACCGUGAUAUUUGUACAGGCUCUGACAAUGCACACCUCUGUGCCUCUUCUUGUCAUGAACUAAGUCUUUGCAUGAUGUAAACGGAAGACUCUUCGCAUUUUACUGUGGGUCUAAUUCAUAUGACUGGGAUCCUCCCUCUUCCAACCUUGACACAUCUCAGCACCCUUGCAAAUAUCUACUAUCUCCAAACCCACAUUCAGUUUAGUGGACAAUGCAGGAGAGGGGUCUGUGCAGAAGCCCCUGAUUUCAGGCAUCCCAGAGGCACCCCAGGGAUGAUGGGAAUUGUAGUCCCAAAACAUCUGGAGGGCUGCGUUUGCCUAUGCCUGGACUAGGGUCUGGGAGACCAGGGUCCGAAUCCUCACUGGGUUACCUUGGGGGCCAGUCACUGCCUCUCAGCCAAACCUACACCACAGGGUUGUUGUUGGAUUAAAUGAGAAGAGAGAGAGAGGAACCAUACAUGCCCCCUUGAGCUCCUUGGAGAACAGGGACUCAGCUACAGUAGUAAAAACAAAAACAAAAACCCAGUGUUUUAAAUGCAUUAUAAACAUGCAACACCAGAUGGCGCUGUAGAGCACAAAACUUUUCUAUGUGAGUUCUCAUAGUGUUUUUUUCCCCUUUUGUUAAAAUGAUUUCAUUUGUGACUUAUUUAUAGCAUUUCCUUUCCUGUGUGCAGAUCUAGCCCAGGUAGGAUAUAAAUGCAAUAAAUAAAUAAGUGGAGGAGGAAAGUGGAGAUAGGGAGGGAGAGACUUCAUACACGGCUCAAGUGCUGGUGUUGUGCGGAUGCGAAAAGGGAGGAGGAAGGUGCAAUUGCUACGCAAACUCUCAUCGGCCAAUUCCUUGGCUGCGAGUCUCGGCUUGACGUAUAAACGCAGCGAUUAACCGCCACUCUCAGCCUGCCUCACCUGAACUAACAAGGCUAGCAUCAGCCAGAGAGAGAAAGGAUAAAAAGAUGGUGCUAUAAACAUAUCUGAUUCAUUUGGCCUUGUCAUCAGGGCUUCCCAUCAGGCAGGGCCAACUUUGGCGCAUGCUGCUUUCUUCAGCUCCCACCCGAUGGGAAGACCCAGUUUGCGUAGCAUCCAGGCCAGGCCUAAGCAAACUCGCCCUCCAGAUGUUUUUGGGACUACAACUCCCAUCAUCCCUGACCACUGGUCCUGUUAGCGAGGGAUGAUGGGAGUCGUAGUCCCAAAACAUCUGGAGGGCUGAGUUUGCCUAUGCCCCUGAUCCAGGCAUCCAAGGUAGCUUCUAGAUAAGAGCUCGGUUUGGAGAGAGGGAAGCAAUCGAGGGGGAAGGAAACACAGCCUUCCAGGACUGCAAAGGCGUUCCACAGCAGCACUGCAGCCUCAACGUCUCUGCAGGAAAAACAGCACUUGCUCCAUCAAGAGGACGUUGGGUGUGAUGCUCACGGCAGAAACGUAGGCACCUGCCUGAUACUGAAUCAGUGCAUCUAGCACGUAUUGGCAGUGGCUCCCAAGAAUUUCAGACGGUGGACCUUUCCCAGCCCCGUCCAGAGAUGGAAGCUGAGAUCUUUGGCAUCCAAAGCAGGUGCUCUACCCACUGAGCUGCAAGGCAAGCCGAGUGUGAUGGCCUGGGAAUCGGAUUCAGAGGCUGAACCUGAGGAAUCCCAGCCUGCACAGGAUUCCCCGCCUCCAGAACCAGCUGAGCCGGGGCUGGGGCAUGAGCCUGAAGGGCCCUCACCUGUGCUGGAUCCUCAGGUGCAGGCACCAGCUGAGUCUGCUCUGGCUGCUGAGGUGAUGGAGGACCCAUUGCCUGCAGGUGCUCCACUCUCAGCCCCGUCAGGGGAAGAGGAGGUUGCCUCUGGGUCUGGUAACCCUCCAGCCUCUCCUGAGCUGCAGAGGCUCAGAGCAGAGAGGCGGAGGGAACUAAGUUCCCGCAGGAGGAGUGCUCGCCUCCAGGCCAGGAGAGGCGAGUCACCUGUGGACCGGGGCUGCCCUAUGCCUCAGGGCAGAUAAAAGCCAGCCAGCCCCAGUCCCAAGUUGUGGGAGCAACAUUGUUGGUAGCCUGUUUCUGCCAGCACCCUGUCCUGCUCUUCUGCCAGAGUUCCUGACCUCACCCGACUCCUUGCCUUGGAC
rnacentral:lncRNA from 1 species